GACGAACGCUGGCGGCGUGCUUAACACAUGCAAGUCGAGCGGAAAGGCCCUUCGGGGUACUCGAGCGGCGAACGGGUGCGUAACACGUGAGUAACCUGCCCCAGACUUUGGGAUAACCCUCGGAAACGGGGGCUAAUACCGGAUACGACACAGCUUCGCAUGGGGUCUGUGUGGAAAGUUUUUCGGUUUGGGAUGGGCUCGCGGCCUAUCAGCUUGUUGGUGGGGUGAUGGCCUACCAAGGCGACGACGGGUAGCCGGCCUGAGAGGGCGACCGGCCACACUGGGACUGAGACACGGCGCAGACUCCUACGGGAGGCAGCAGUGGGGAAUAUUGCACAAUGGGCGGAAGCCUGAUGCAGCGACGCCGCGUGAGGGAUGACGGCCUUCGGGUUGUAAACCUCUUUCAGCAGGGACGAAGCGUAAGUGACGGUACCUGCAGAAGAAGCGCCGGCCAACUACGUG
rnacentral:rRNA from 1 species